AUUGAACGCUGGCGGCAUGCCUUACACAUGCAAGUCGAACGGUAACAGGUCUUCGGAUGCUGACGAGUGGCGAACGGGUGAGUAAUACAUCGGAACGUGCCCAGACGUGGGGGAUAACGAGGCGAAAGCUUUGCUAAUACCGCAUACGAUCUAAGGAUGAAAGCAGGGGACCGCAAGGCCUUGUGCGUUUGGAGCGGCCGAUGGCAGAUUAGGUAGUUGGUGGGAUAAAAGCUUACCAAGCCGACGAUCUGUAGCUGGUCUGAGAGGACGACCAGCCACACUGGGACUGAGACACGGCCCAGACUCCUACGGGAGGCAGCAGUGGGGAAUUUUGGACAAUGGGCGAAAGCCUGAUCCAGCAAUGCCGCGUGCAGGAUGAAGGCCUUCGGGUUGUAAACUGCUUUUGUACGGAACGAAAAGGCUCUGGCUAAUACCUGGGGCACAUGACGGUACCGUAAGAAUAAGCACCGGCUAACUACGU
rnacentral:rRNA from 1 species